ACUGUAAUGCUCAUCGUUGAUUUGUUAAUCUAUAGAUCAGCAUACAACAGAUGGUUUUUGUUAUAUUUACAUUUUUUUCAAACUUAAAUGUUAUAGUAAUUCUAUAAACACAAUGUGUUCAUAUUUCAAUAAACCAAUUAUUUUCUUGAAUAUAAAAGUUCAUUUUUAACAAACAUUUGGUGUGAGUCGAAAGUAUUGCGCUUUGGGGAGGAACGUCGAGAAUGUCACCAAUAUAUCCUCCGGAAAAAGUAUUUGGGCAGAUGGAUGAAUUAUCACGGACUACAUUAUAAAGCGGUUAUAGCAGUGAUACCAACGAUGAGUUAUCACCACAUAAUUCAGGCACAUACUCUUUGGUAGAAGAUCGGUCAUCAAUAACACAAUCUGGUGACCGAAGUUUGGAUGUUGUUUACACCACCGAGGAAACAGCCCAGAACGGCUAUAGUACAGGGUCAUCAUUUGUAGAACCCUGUGAUCUGGAAGAAGAUGGAGGGAGACGUGUUUGCAGAGGCAAUUGCAGGGCUGAAAACAAUUCCUCCAUAAUUGGCAUUGCCAUUCAUCUUCCGAUCAUUUUUGCUGCAGAUGCUAAAGUACCAACUCCAAACCUGGUGUAUCCUGUGUUGAAUCAUGUGGAUAUAAAUAUGGUUUCAUCCAAUGAGCAAGAAUUCGUUGAAGAGUUGCCAACGCCAAACACUACUAUGGAAUAGAUUUCGCUAGCUAGUGCCCCAGCCCAACAUUUACUUCCAACGGAUACAUUGCGGCAUCUAUUUAUACACACAAAACUACGGUACCAUGGGUAUCACAGCAGCACCUAGAUACUUUCAUAAUAAUUAGUAUUGCAUAAUCAAGUAUACCUAUAGGUGAUCUGUGUACGUAUUUUUCGUCAAUUAAUUUGCAUCAGUGUUUUGUAAAACAGUUUAACUGAAACGAUGUGCGAACAAUGUAUUUACUAAGCAAUAUGUUUAUCUAAAAAGAUGCCUUAAGCAUUUGUAACAUCGCGUGUAAAGUGAAAUGAUUGUGAAAACGAGCCUUGUUUUGAAAUUUUUCUGUGUUCAAUUUUGCAUAUUAGCAUGCAUUACAUCCAUGCUGUUUUUAAUAAUUAAAUUUUGUUAGCCCAUAAUAUGUUCAUAUUGGUGAAUACUACGUUUGUGUUAAGAUUGUGAGGUGUUUGUAUAAAUUGAUAAGGAUACAUUUUGUUAAAUCUACUAACACCUCUUUCUACAGGGUAAUGUUGGAUAAUAUUAUAUGGGAAUGGAAGUUCAUUUAUAUCAUAUAAUACAAGGAAAACAACCAUUUGCUUAAGCAUGAUUCAAAAUCAAUCUUGCAACUGAGUACAUUGUUCUGCAAGAUAGACCCACUAAAAUGACAUUGUGUUUUGCUUCAAUGUCAUUUGAACAUGGACACAUACAAAUAUAUAUAUAUGGAAUGCUUCAUAAUUAGAACUAAGUUUGUUCAAAAUAUACUAGUUUAUUUAUGUAAGAUAAACAUGCAUAUCCCAUUUUUGUACCGCAACUUCAAUUUAACUGAAAGCGAACAUAACAUGGCGAUGUUUUGUUUAACCUUAAUACAUGUUUGUCUUAUAUGUAUCACUUAACUCACUGUUUGUAUGUAAACACAUACAAUAAAGUGAUUAUGAUUUUA